CUCUCUAUAGUUCAAGGGAAAGAACAAUGGUCUUCUAAACCAUAUAUCUCAGUUCGAGUCUGAGUAGAGAGA
rnacentral:tRNA from 1 species